CCGGAUGCUGGGUGCUCCUUGCCAUGCUUCAGGGUGUAAGCGAUGUGAGGAUGUGGUGUUACAGUACAGGUCUAAGUUUUCUCUAUCAACCAUCAUAGGCCAGGAUGCAGGGGCGCCAGGCUCCAUCACCUUCCGUGACCUCUGAGCCGUGAUCUGGGAAGAGGAGGAGGGACCGUUUUCCUGGCCAGGAUUGCAGGGGUUCCAGGGAUCAAACUCGGAUCAUCGAGGCUUACAUAGCAAGUGCCAUCUCACUAGCUCUGGGCUAGCUCUUGGUGGGAAACGGAGACUAAGAGGCCCGGGAGCUGGCUCGGGACUACCCCUAGCAAGGGCUCCUCCUCCCCGGCGUCCAGGCUGAGAGUGCAUCUCCUCAUCUGCUGAGCUGUGGGGUUGCCUGAGACCAUCCCGCAUACCAGACAUUUGCAUUACCGUUCACAACCGUAGCAAAAUCACAGCUAUAAGGCAGAAAGGAAAAUGCUGUUAUGGUCGGGGGUCACCACGACAUGAGGAACUGUAUUCAAGGGAGGUUGAAAACCACGGCUAA